rnacentral:rRNA from 1 species
AUUGAACGCUGGCGGCAUGCUUUACACAUGCAAGUCGAACGGUAACAGGUCUUCGGAUGCUGACGAGUGGCGAACGGGUGAGUAAUGCAUCGGAACGUGCCCAGUCGUGGGGGAUAGCGCAGCGAAAGCUGUGCUAAUACCGCAUACGAUCUAUGGAUGAAAGCGGGGGAUCGCAAGACCUCGCGCGAUUGGAGCGGCCGAUGUCAGAUUAGCUAGUUGGUGGGGUAAAGGCCCACCAAGGCGACGAUCUGUAGCUGGUCUGAGAGGACGACCAGCCACACUGGGACUGAGACACGGCCCAGACUCCUACGGGAGGCAGCAGUGGGGAAUUUUGGACAAUGGGCGCAAGCCUGAUCCAGCAAUGCCGCGUGCAGGAAGAAGGCCUUCGGGUUGUAAACUGCUUUUGUACGGAACGAAAAGGUCUGGGUUAAUACCCUGGGCUCAUGACGGUACCGUAAGAAUAAGCACCGGCUAACUACGUGCCAGCAGCCGCGGUAAUACGUAGGGUGCAAGCGUUAAUCGGAAUUACUGGGCGUAAAGCGUGCGCAGGCGGUUUUGUAAGACAGGCGUGAAAUCCCCGGGCUCAACCUGGGAAUGGCGCUUGUGACUGCAAAGCUGGAGUGCGGCAGAGGGGGAUGGAAUUCCGCGUGUAGCAGUGAAAUGCGUAGAUAUGCGGAGGAACACCAAUGGCGAAGGCAAUCCCCUGGGCCUGCACUGACGCUCAUGCACGAAAGCGUGGGGAGCAAACA